GAAUAGAUACCCUGGUAGUCCACGCCGUAAACUAUGGAUACUAGCUGUUAUCGGUAUCGACCCCGAUAGUAGCGAAGCUAACGCGUUAAGUAUCCCGCCUGUGGAGUACGGUCGCAAGACUAAAACAUAAAGGAAUUGACGGGGACCCGCACAAGCGGUGGAUUGUGUUCUUUAAUUCGAUGAUAAACGAAGAACCUUACCAGGGCUUGACAUCCUUUGAAUUUUGUCGAAAGACGAGAGUGCUUUAUUGAACAAAGUGACAGGUGAUGCAUGGCCGUCGUCAGCUCGUGUCGUGAGAUGUUAGGUUAAGUCCUUCAACGAGCGCAACCCUUGCAAUUAGUUGAAUUUUUCUAAUUGGACCGCCCCGGUAACGGGGAGGAAGGAGGGGAUGAUGUCAGGUCAGUAUUUCCCUUACGUCCUGGGCUAGAAACGCAAUACAAUGGCUAGUACAAUGCGCAGCGAAGCGGCAACGUGAAGCAAAUCGCAUCAAAGUUAGUCCCAGUUCGGAUUAGGGGCUGAAACUCGCCCCUAUGAAGUCGGAAUCGCUAGUAAUCG
rnacentral:rRNA from 1 species